rnacentral:rRNA from 1 species
GACGAACGCUGGCGGCAUGCUUAACACAUGCAAGUCGAACGAAGUGGCGAACGGGUGAGAAAUACGUGGGUAACCUGCCCUCCUUUUUGGGAUAAGCCUUGGAAACGGGGUCUAAUACCGAAUAAAGGGGGAUGGGCUCGCGGCAUAUCAGCUUGGUGGUGGGGUGAUGGCCUACCAAGGCGGUGACGGGUAGACGGCCUGCGAGGGUGACCGGACACAUUGGGACUGAGAUACGGCCAAGACUCCUACGGGAGGCAGCCGUGGGGGAUAUUGAAUAAUGCGCGAACGCCGGAGGCAGCGACGUCGCUUGGGGGAGGGAGGCUUUCGGGUUGGAAACCUCUUUGGCAAUCGACCGGGUAGGUGGAGAAGAAGCGCCGGCUAACUACGUGCCAGCAGCCGCGGUAAUUC